UACGAGGGGGGCAAGCGGUUGUUCGGAAUUAUUGGGCGUUAAAGGGUGCGGUAGGCGGUUUUGUAAGUCUUGUGUGAAAUCUUCAGGCUCAACUUGAAGACUGCACGAGAAACUGCAGGGCUUGAGUGUGGGAGAGGUGAGUGGAAUUCCGUGGUGUAGCGGUGAAAUGCGCAGAUAUCGGGAGGAACACCGGUGGCGAAGGCGGUUCUCUGGGCCUUACCUGACGCUGAGGAGCGAAAGCGUGGGGAGCGAACAGG
rnacentral:rRNA from 1 species